rnacentral:rRNA from 1 species
GAUGAACGCUAGCGGCAGGCCUAACACAUGCAAGUCGAGGGGUAUAGUUUCUUCGGAGACUAGAGACCGGCGCACGGGUGCGUAACGCGUAUGCAAUCUACCUUGUACAGAGGGAUAGCCCAGAGAAAUUUGGAUUAAUAACUCAUAGUAUUUUAAAGUGGCAUCAUUUAAUAAUUAAAGUUACAACGGUACAAGAUGAGCAUGCUGCCCAUUAGCUAGUUGGUAUGGUAACGGCAUACCAAGGCAAUGAUGGGUAGGGGUCCUGAGAGGGAGAUCCCCCACACUGGUACUGAGACACGGACCAGACUCCUACGGGAGGCAGCAGUGAGGAAUAUUGGACAAUGGGCGCAAGCCUGAUCCAGCCACGCCGCGUGCAGGAAGACGGUCCUAUGGAUUGUAAACUGCUUUUAUACAGGAAGAAACACCCUUACGAGUAGGGGCUUGACGGUACUGUAGGAAUAAGGAUCGGCUAACUCCGUGCCAGCCGCCGCAGUAA